rnacentral:rRNA from 1 species
GUAGGUGGCAAGCGUUGUCCGGGAAUUAUUGGGGCGUAAAGCGCGCGCAGGUGGUUCUUUAAGUCUGAUGUGAAAGCCCACGGGCUCAACCGUGGAGGGUCAUUGGAAACUGGAGAACUUGAGUACAGAAGAGGAAAGCGGAAUUCCACGUGUAGCGGUGAAAUGCGUAGAGAUGUGGAGGAACACCAGUGGCGAAGGCGGCUUUCUGGUCUGUAACUGACGCUGAGGCGCGAAAGCGUGGGGAGCAAACAGGAUUAGAUACCCUGGUAGUCCACGCCGUAAACGAUGAGUGCUAAGUGUUAGGGGGUUUCCGCCCCUUAGUGCUGCAGCUAACGCAUUAAGCACUCCGCCUGGGGAGUACGGCCGCAAAGGCUGA